UCUUUGCUAGUAUAUCGGUUAGUACACGCGCCUGUCAAUUGUUGUCUCCGCGCGAAAGCUGGGUUCGACUCCCAGGCAGAGAG